GACGAAGGGGGCUAGCGUUGUCCGGAAUUAUUGGGCGUAAAGCGCGCGCAGGCGGUCAUUUAAGUCUGGUGUUUAAUCCCGGGGCUCAACCCCGGAUCGCACUGGAAACUGGGUGACUUGAGUGCAGAAGAGGAGAGUGGAAUUCCACGUGUAGCGGUGAAAUGCGUAGAUAUGUGGAGGAACACCAGUGGCGAAGGCGACUCUCUGGGCUGUAACUGACGCUGAGGCGCGAAAGCGUGGGGAGCAAACAGG
rnacentral:rRNA from 1 species